CAAAAAAAAAAACAGUUAGGAGGUGGAAAACUGGAGCUGUGCUCUGGUGACUGGUGUCUGCAACAGGCUAAUGCUCAUCGGUGCCAUCUCUAAAUCCCAGCAGGUGGAUAUGCACAAUUGCAGCACCUUCCAGUAGACAGCUGGCACCUCUGUUAAAUAUUUUGUGGCAAUACGUGAAUGCAGAGAUGACCACAGGAAUGCACUACGCAUGCUGUGCUGAGGUCUGAUUUAACUGUCUGAAGCCAAGAGAAGCUCCACAGAGACUGCUGAGGACACGCGCUGCAUAAAGCAGCUUUUGACUACUCCAUGACUCAGAGGAAAACCCAGGACACUCGUUAUAAAAUGUGGGAAUAAUGCUGCAUUGGCAAUAGAAGUGACACGAAGACCUAUUACUUCAAGAACCCCUUCAUCUCACAUUACCGUGAUUCCAAAUGGAUAUCAUUUUAAUCUAUUGGACAGUGCAAACUAUAGCCGAUAUCGAAAGUAAGAGGAAGACCUGUCUGUCUGCACACAUACCAUGCCAUAGUCCAUGUUUCAUUUGAAGUUUCAUGAGUGAGAUUAUGGACAGCCUUACAGCGACAACAUCUAGUGAUACAGUCUGUGUAAUUAUUUCACAGGGGCCAGAAACUCCUCCACCAUCCAAAAUAAGCCUCUGUCUCGUUCAGCCUGCUGGCUGAAAGGACAAGUAUCCAGCUGCUUGCACUAAGAUCACAGGAAAAUAUCUGAGGAGAUGAGAUCUGGUUGAUUUUCCUCCAGACUUCAGCAAGGUGAGUGAGACACCUGAUCUAGGCCCUCACUGUUAUUUCUCU
rnacentral:lncRNA from 1 species